GGCUGGUCCGAGUGCAGUGGUGUUUACAGGUAAUUGAUCGCAACCUGUUAUAGAUUUGUUUUUUCUCCACUCCCAUUGUUUCAUUUGACUAGCCUUAA
ensembl:Y_RNA Y_RNA Y RNA